rnacentral:rRNA from 1 species
UACGUAGGUGGCGAGCGUUGUCCGGAAUUACUGGGUGUAAAGCGCGUGUAGGCGGGAGGCCAAGUCUGCGGUGAAAUCGCUCGGCUCAACUGGGCGGGGUCCGUGGAAACUGGUCACCUGGAGGACGGUAGAGGCGAGUGGAAUUCCCGGUGUAGUGGUGAAAUGCGUAGAUAUCAGGAGGAACACCGGUGGCGAAGGCGCUCAUCUGGCCCGAUACUGACGCUGAGGCGCGAAAGCUAGGGGAGCAAACGGG